rnacentral:rRNA from 1 species
GGGGAUGACGUCAAAUCAUCAUGCCCCUUAUGAUUUGGGCUACACACGUGCUACAAUGGACGGUACAAAGGGCAGCGAACCCGCGAGGUCAAGCAAAUCCCAUAAAGCCGUUCUCAGUUCGGAUUGUAGUCUGCAACUCGACUACAUGAAGCUGGAAUCGCUAGUAAUCGUAGAUCAGCAUGCUACGGUGAAUACGUUCCCGGGUCUUGUACACACCGCCCGUCACACCACGAGAGUUUGUAACACCCGAAGCCGGUGGAGUAACCUUUUAGGAGCUAGCCGUCGAAGGUGGGACAAAUGAUUGGGGUGAAGUCGUAACAAGGUAGCCGUAUCGGAAGGUGCGGCUGGAUCACCUCCUUU